rnacentral:tRNA from 1 species
GCCGGAGUGGUGGAAUUGGCAGACACGCAGGUUUUAGGUACCUGUGCUCUAGGGCGUGGGGGUUCAAGUCCCCCCUCCGGCACCA